rnacentral:rRNA from 1 species
GACGAACGCUGGCGGCGUGCUUAACACAUGCAAGUCGAACGGUAAGGCCCCUUCGGUGGUACACGAGUGGCGAACGGGUGAGUAACACGUGAGCAACCGGCCCUUGACUCUGGAAUAACAGUUGGAAACAGCUGCUAAUACUGGAUAUUCAUCGUCUCCUUCCUGGGGGGUGGUGGAAAUCACCGGCGGUCUGGGAUGGCCUCGCGGCCUAUCAGCUUGUUGGUGAGGUAAUGGCUCACCAAGGCUUCGACGGGUAGCCGGCCUGAGAGGGAGACCGGCCCCACUGGGACUGAGAUACGGGCCAGAGUCCUACGGGAGGAAGCAGUGGGGAAUUGUGCACAAUGGGCGGAAGCCUGAUGCAGCAACGCCGCGUGGGGGAUGACGGCCUUCGGGUUGUAAACCGCUUUCAGUAGGGAAGAAGGGUGACUGACGGUACCUACAGAAGAAGGACCGGCUAACUACGUG